rnacentral:rRNA from 1 species
UGGCGGACGGGUGAGUAAUGUCUGGGAAACUGCCUGAUGGAGGGGGAUAACUACUGGAAACGGUAGCUAAUACCGCAUAACGUCUACGGACCAAAGCGGGGGACCUCCGGGCCUCGCGCCAUCAGAUGAACCCAUAUGGGAUUAGCUAGUAGGUAAGGUAACGGCUUACCUAGGCGACGAUCCCUAGCUGGUCUGAGAGGAUGACCAGCCACACUGGAACUGAGACACGGUCCAG